rnacentral:rRNA from 1 species
CCUACGGGAGGCAGCAGUGGGGAAUUUUGGACAAUGGGCGCAAGCCUGAUCCAGCAAUGCCGCGUGCAGGAUGAAGGCCUUCGGGUUGUAAACUGCUUUUGUACGGAACGAAACGGUCUGCCCUAAUACGGUGGGCUAAUGACGGUACCGUAAGAAUAAGCACCGGCUAACUACGUGCCAGCAGCCGCGGUAAUACGUAGGGUGCGAGCGUUAAUCGGAAUUACUGGGCGUAAAGCGUGCGCAGGCGGUUAUGUAAGACAGAUGUGAAAUCCCCGGGCUCAACCUGGGACCUGCAUUUGUGACUGCAUAGCUAGAGUACGGUAGAGGGGGGAUGGAAUUCCGCGUGUAGCAGUGAAAUGCGUAGAUAUGCGGAGGAACACCGAUGGCGAAGGCAAUCCCCUGGACCUGUACUGACGCUCAUGCACGAAAGCGUGGGGAGCAAACAGGAUUAGAUACCCUGGUAGUCCACGCCCUAAACGAUGUCAACUGGUUGUUGGGUCUUCACUGACUCAGUAACGAAGCUAACGCGUGAAGUUGACCGCCUGGGGAGUACGGCCGCAAGGUUGAAACGUCAAAUGAAAUUGACGG